CCCCUGGCACUGGAGCAGAGAAGGAUGCUGCCCUGGGUAACUUUGCCCAUGUCACUUCACCUCUCUGUGUCUGUGUUCCCACCUGCAGAAUCAACUCAUUGUUUCCAAGGCACUACUCUGCCCGGCAAUCCUCCCCACUCUGCGGAUGGACUUUCUGUGCAACUCGGCACAUGACCUUUGGCUGUCAACACGUUCAAGGUUGGCCUAAGUCACAGAGAGCUCACCUAAAGCCUUGCCCUUCCCAGAGCAGCCUGUACCAGUGGCUGAGUGACCUUUUCUGUCUCAGGGCCUUUGCAGAAAGGCUUAGCUAUUUCAGCCCAACAAGGAAUCAUCAUCUAGCUGGCCUCAUUUACUUCAGUGCUUCCUGCAGAUACCAAGGAGCCACCUGGAGGGGCCGUUGGGAAUCAGCCCAGGAGGGAAACGCCUGGCUGUCUGGCUUUGGAGGGCGGUUCUCAUCUGAGAUGGGGGCAAGUGCAUCUACAGAACCAGCCAGGCAGAGCGUCCACCUUGCAUCCCAGAUCCCUGAGGAAGCUCACGUGACUCCAGCUGUCGCCACCCCCUGGGCACCUGUGCACUCUGCCUAUGGAGCCCAACCUGCAAUUGACCCAACCCUCUGGCCUGUCAUGGGAGCCCGCUGUGCUGUCCACCCCUGCACGGGGUACCCAGCCCCUUGGAGUUACCCGUGGGUGCCCGUUGGCAGUCCUCUCUUGCAUCCCAGAUCCCUGAGGAAGCUCACGUGACUCCAGCUGUCGCCACCCCCUGGGCACCUGUGCACUCUGCCUAUGGAGCCCAACCUGCAAUUGACCCAACCCUCUGGCCUGUCAUGGGAGCCCGCUGUGCUGUCCACCCCUGCACGGGGUACCCAGCCCCUUGGAGUUACCCGUGGGUGCCCGUUGGCAGUCCUCUCUUCUGNCUCUGGCUACUCUCCCCAGGUGGGAUGGCAGGCUCCUGCCAGCUCAGCCUUCCCAGCUGCCAUGUGGAGACCAUCCAGAGGAGCUCCUCACUUGAAGAGGUGCCAAGCCCCUCCCUCAGAAUGGGCUUCCAGGUUCAGCAUUUGGGCCCCUGCACCACCCUCCAGCCCAGAACUCUGCUCCCUGCCCCCUUCCCCCAGUACAGACUGUCCACCUGAGCCCUGCUGUCCCCACUGCCCUCGGCCACCCUGCAGGGCCUGCCGCCGCCUCUUCUAGCCCCGAGGUGUUGUUGGGCGCCUCCCACUCCAACACUUAGGGAGCCGUGGGAUCCAGUGAGUGCAAUGUUUAUUUUAAUGUAACAUCUGCCCUACUGUAAUGCAUAGAGGUAAAGCAUGCAUUCAUAUAAAUUAUUUAAUGGUGACUGUGUUUUUGAAAUGGAA
rnacentral:lncRNA from 1 species